rnacentral:rRNA from 1 species
GCUAAACGCGAAGAACCUUACCAAGGCUUGACAUCCCUCUGACCGAUUUAGAGAUAGAUCUUUCCCUUCGGGGACAGAGGUGACAGGUGGUGCAUGGUUGUCGUCAGCUCGUGUCGUGAGAUGUUGGGUUAAGUCCCGCAACGAGCGCAACCCUUGUUUCUAGUUGCCAGCACUUCGGGUGGGCACUCUAGAGAGACAGCCGGUGAAAGCCGGAGGAAGGUGGGGAUGACGUCAAAUCAUCAUGCCCCUUAUGUCUUGGGCUACACACGUGCUACAAUGGCUGGUACAAAGGGCAGCGAACCCGCGAGGGGGAGCCAAUCCCAAAAAACCAGUCUCAGUUCGGAUUGCAGGCUGCAACUCGCCUGCAUGAAGUCGGAAUCGCUAGUAAUCGCGGAUCAGAAUGUCGCGGUGAAUACGUUCCCGGGUC